UGAGACCGGCCCCGCGAGGCGCGCAGGGUCCUCACUUGUGGAAAGAAACGGGCUUGUCCUUGUCGUAGCGGUUCUUGCAGCCGUAGGCGGAGCAGGACUGCACCAUCCUUCCGGUCCUCAGGCACUUCACUUCUGCCGCCGCAGAAGGCAGGGGAAGCUGUUCUCAGUGUCGCUGCGCUCGGUUGGAUUCCCUCGCUUCUUUUGUAGCUUUGGCCAACAGUUACAGUGAUGGUGGCCUCCCUCGGGGGUGACUAGUGUGCCCGUUUUGUUGUUUGCAUUAGCAGAAGGACCACAGCCAUCGCCCGUCUCCCAUCUCCAAGAUGGCGGAGGCAGCUUCAACCUCACCUCUCGCGAGGGGUGCGUCCCACUGUCUCUGAUUAGCCCCGAGGUCAGAGGUAUCACAAGUUUCUGUGAGAGCCAACGUGACAGAUUUUUAGCAAUGAAAAAAGACACACUCGCCAAAUCAUCUCAAUUGCCAACGCAGAAGCGUUUUAUAUAUAUGUAUGUAUAUGUAUGUAUAUAUGUGUGUAUGUAUAUAUGUGUGUGUGUAUGUAUAUAUAUAUAUAUAUAUGUAAUUUUUUAAAUAAAUAGAGGCGUUGUCUCCCCACGUUGCCCAGGUCAGUCUGGAACUCGAGCUCAAGGGAUCCUCCCAUCUCGACCUCCCCAUGGGUUGGGAUUACAGGAGUUGAGCCACCAGGCUGUCCCUCCCCAGAAGCUUUUCUGAAGGCUCUCCAUUGCUGUGAUUUCCAUGUGCUGUGUUGCAAAUAGCGAACUGCUGCAGCAAUUUUCACACCUGAGAGAGAAUAUGUUAGAGGGGUUCGAACUAGAGCGACUCUGUGUUGAGUGAGGGCUAGGAAAAUGAGGCUGGGACUUGCUGGGCUGCAUUCCCGGGAAGUUAGGUAUUCCUAGCCUCUAGAUGUGUAUACCAUUAAGGCAACAGAUUGAUAAUGUUUACUACACAGACCCAGACUACCAAGUGUCCAGAUAUCCCGAUAUUUUGAGAACAGAAGCAUUCCUAAUUUUGCUUUAAAGAUAAUAAUAUUGGGCUGGGCACAGUGCCUCACGCCUGUAAUCCCAGCACUUUGGAAGGCCGAGGCGGGCGGAUCACUUGAGGUCAGGAGUUCAAGACUAGCCUGGUCAACAUGGUGAAAACGUCUCUACUAAAAAUACAAAAAUUAACCGGGUGUGGUGGCACAUGCCCUCGAAUUUCAGCUACUCUGGAGGCUGAGGCAGGAUAAUCGCUUGAAUCCGGGAGGCGGGGGUUGCAGUGAGCCGUGCUUGCACCACUGCACUCCAGCCUGGGCGACAGAGUAAGACUCUGUCUCAUAAAUAAAGAUAAUAUCGAUUCUUACAUAAUAUAGUAAUUAAUCCUUUAUCACAAACCCUUGUAGCAAAGCACAUCUCCCCAUGAUCUUUUUUUAUCCUAUAUAUAAACUAAGUGUUGUACUUAGGGUGGACGCGUUCCUCCUCUUACUUUCGGGAAUGCCCUACUCUGUCUGUGGAGU
rnacentral:lncRNA from 1 species